AUGGCGGCGGUGGCGAUGGACAUCGCGAAGCCCUCGGCGCUGCCGGCGAGCGUUGACGACCCGUCGGCGGCGUCGGCCAAGGGCAGGGCCGGCGGCGGGGAGGGCCUGCGCCAGUACUACCUGCAGCACAUCCACGACCUGCAGCUCCAGAUCCGGACCAAGACGCACAACCUCAACCGCCUCGAGGCCCAGCGCAACGACCUCAACUCUCGAGUUAGAAUGCUCCGGGAAGAGUUGCAGCUGCUUCAAGAACCGGGCUCAUAUGUUGGCGAGGUUGUGAAGGUCAUGGGCAAGUCAAAGGUUCUAGUGAAGGUUCAUCCAGAAGGCAAAUAUGUUGUAGAUCUUGAUAAAAGUAUUGAUAUUACAAAGAUAACCCCUUCAACAAGAGUUGCUCUUCGGAACGACAGCUACAUGCUUCACCUUAUCCUGCCCAGCAAAGUCGAUCCACUGGUUAAUCUUAUGAAGGUGGAGAAGGUUCCUGACUCUACCUAUGAUAUGAUUGGUGGUCUUGAUCAGCAAAUUAAAGAGAUCAAGGAGGUGAUUGAGCUUCCCAUCAAGCAUCCUGAGCUGUUUGAGAGUCUCGGAAUUGCCCAACCAAAGGGUGUCCUUCUUUACGGGCCUCCAGGUACAGGGAAAACAUUACUUGCUCGUGCAGUUGCUCAUCACACCGACUGCACCUUCAUCAGGGUGUCAGGUUCUGAGUUGGUUCAGAAGUAUAUUGGAGAGGGUUCCCGGAUGGUUCGUGAACUCUUUGUGAUGGCUAGGGAGCAUGCACCAUCCAUUAUAUUUAUGGAUGAAAUAGACUCUAUUGGAUCUGCUAGAAUGGAGUCGGGAUCUGGCAAUGGUGAUAGCGAGGUUCAGCGUACUAUGCUUGAGCUUCUGAACCAACUUGAUGGUUUUGAAGCAUCGAACAAAAUUAAGGUUCUUAUGGCAACAAAUAGGAUAGACAUAUUGGAUCAAGCUCUUCUAAGGCCUGGUCGUAUUGAUAGGAAGAUUGAAUUUCCAAAUCCUAAUGCAGAUUCCCGUGGUGAUAUUUUGAAGAUUCACUCAAGGAAAAUGAACUUGAUGCGUGGCAUUGAUCUGAAAAAGAUUGCCGAGAAGAUGAACGGGGCAUCAGGAGCAGAGCUAAAGGCGGUCUGCACAGAAGCUGGAAUGUUUGCCCUCCGCGAGAGAAGGGUGCACGUCACCCAGGAGGAUUUCGAGAUGGCCGUGGCAAAGGUGAUGAAGAAGGAUACCGAGAAGAACAUGUCGCUGCGGAAGCUAUGGAAGUGA
rnacentral:rRNA from 1 species